rnacentral:rRNA from 1 species
AGAAUCAACGCUGGCGGCGUGCCUAACACAUGCAAGUCGAACGAGAAAGUGGAGCAAUCCAUGAGUAAAGUGGCGCACGGGUGAGUAACACGUGACUAACCUACCCUUGAGUGGGGGAUAACCUAGGGAAACCUGGGCUAAUACCGCAUAAUACCUUCGGGUCAAAGGAGCAAUUCGCUUAAGGAGGGGGUCGCGGCCGAUUAGUUAGUUGGCGGGGUAAUGGCCCACCAAGACGAUGAUCGGUAUCCGGCCUGAGAGGGCGCACGGACACACUGGAACUGAAACACGGUCCAGACUCCUACGGGAGGCAGCAGUGGGGAAUUUUGCGCAAUGGGGGAAACCCUGACGCAGCAACGCCGCGUGGAGGAUGAAGUCCCUUGGGACGUAAACUCCUUUCGAUCGGGACGAUAAUGACGGUACCGGAAGAAGAAGCCCCGGCUAACUUCGUGCCAGCAGCCGC